rnacentral:rRNA from 1 species
CCUACGGGCGGCAGCAGUGGGGAAUAUUGCACAAUGGGGGAAACCCUGAUGCAGCGACGCCGCGUGAGUGAAGAAGUAUUUCGGUACGUAAAGCUCUAUCAGCAGGGAAGAAAAUGACGGUACCUGACUAAGAAGCCCCGGCUAACUACGUGCCAGCAGCCGCGGUAAUACGGAGGGGGCAAGCGUUAGCCGGAUUUACUGGGUGUAAAGGGAGCGUAGACGGCAGCGCAAGUCUGGAGUGAAAUCCCAUGGCUUAACCAUGGAACUGCUUUGGAAACUGUGCAGCUAGAGUGCAGGAGAGGUAAGCGGAAUGCGUAGUGUAGCGGUGAAAUGCGUAGAUAUUAGGAGGAACACCAGUGGCGAAGGCGGCUUACUGGACUGUAACUGACGUUGAGGCUCGAAAGCGUGGGGAGCAAACAGGAUUAGAUACCCCAGUAGUC